AAUGGUUAAGCUUAACUUCCCUUAACUUUUCCCAUUCAUUCUCUAUGGUAGUGCUUAACACUACGGAUGCAAUCUACUUUUGGCCACACGUAGACUUCCCGGCGCUGUUUCGCUUUUCCGUGGCGGGGAAUUUAAAAAGCGAAGCGUCAUCUGUCUACCCUUUUUAUUACCGGAGAGAUAUUUGUUUACCGACUUGUCAGCAAACUUGUUUCGUUUUGUUAGUGUCUAAACUACCUGCAGACAGACUUUAACUCAGUAAUGGAGGAGGAAGAAGAACUGGAAAGUUUUUCUCCAACAAAAUAUCUCACACAGCUGAGCUCAUCUGCAGCCACAGGAUCCACAGUCUUAUUUACAACAGGUUACUUUACAC